rnacentral:rRNA from 1 species
GACGAACGCUGGCGGCGUGCUUAACACAUGCAAGUCGAACGGAAAGGCCCUGCUUUUGUGGGGUGCUCGAGUGGCGAACGGGUGAGUAACACGUGAGUAACCUGCCCUUGACUUUGGGAUAACUUCAGGAAACUGGGGCUACUACCGGAUAGGAGCUCCUGCUGCAUGGUGGGGGUUGGAAAGUUUCGGCGGUUGGGGAUGGACUCGCGGCUUAUCAGCUUGUUGGUGGGGUAGUGGCUUACCAAGGCUUUGACGGGUAGCCGGCCUGAGAGGGUGACCGGCCACAUUGGGACUGAGAGACGGCGCAGACUCCUACGGGAGGCAGCAGUGGGGAAUAUUGCACAAUGGGCGGAAGCCUGAUGCAGCAACGCCGCGUGCGGGAUGACGGCCUUCGGGCUGUAAACCGCUUUCGCCUGUGACGAAGCGUGAGUGACGGUAAUGGGUAAAGAAGCACCGGCUAACUACGUG